rnacentral:tRNA from 1 species
CGUUCUCUGGGCAAACUGGUCGAGGCAUCGCCGUUUAGAGGCAAAGAUGCGGGUUCGAGUCCCGCUAGAACAG